AUACGGAGGGUGCAAGCGUUACUCGGAAUCACUGGGCGUAAAGGAUGCGUAGGCGGAUAAUCAAGUCAAAAGUGAAAUCCUACAGCUUAACUGUAGAACUGCUUUCGAAACUGGUUAUCUAGAAUAUGGAAGAGGCAGAUGGAAUUAGUGGUGUAGGGGUAAAAUCCGUAGAGAUCACUAGGAAUACCGAUUGCGAAGGCGAUCUGCUGGGACAUUAUUGACGCUGAGGCAUGAAAGCGUGGGGAGCAAACAGGAUUAGAAACCCUAGUAGUCC
rnacentral:rRNA from 1 species